rnacentral:sRNA from 1 species
CCCUAGCCCUGAUAGCAGUGGAAAUCCUUGUGGACCGGGGUUCGGUACACAAGAUUGCAACGGAAAGCAGGAUUAAGC